CGAGUUUACGCAAGUCACAUUGCAUCUAACGCUAUACCAGCUCUACCUACAUACUCUACUAACCGCUACGAAGAUCCGUUGUGUGUUUCAGAAGUUGGAGUCCCAGAACAUGGAGACAGCAGUGCUCGUAGCAGUGCCCAGCCGUGGGCAGCCGAGUGCUGAGACUGCAGCUCUAGACGUGAGCACAGGAGUGGAAGCUGAUGCAAGAUGUUCUCGCUGCAGGGGCCGCUCGAGAGAUCGAUCUGUGAGUCGAGGUCGAUCGCGGGGUAGGUCCAGAGGACGCUCCAGGGGUAAAUCUCGCAGCCGCUCCAGGGGCAAAUCUCGUGGCCGCUCUAGGGGCAGAUCUCGUGGCCGCUCUAGGGGCAGAUCUCGUGGCCGUUCCAGGGGUAGAUCCCGCGGUCGCUCUCGAGGAAGAUCCCGUGGCCAUUCUAGAGGAAGAUCCCGUGGCCAUUCUAGAGGCAGAUCUCGUGGCCAUUCUAGAGGCAGAUCUCGUGGCCAUUCUAGAGGCAGAUCUCGUGGCCAUUCUAGGGGAAGAUCCCGUGGCCACUCCAGGGGUAGAUCCCGUAGCCAUUCCAGAGGUAGAUCUGCAGGACCAUCAAACAGCAUGGAUCGUGGAUGUGGCAAAGAAAAAUAUCACGAUUGCUGUAAGCAUACGCAGAGAGGAAGAGCAAGAAAAGAGUCGAGGCAGCAUUGCAGACACCAUUCAAGAGGGAAAUCUAGGGGUCACUCUAGAGGACGAUCUAGGAGUCAUUCUAGAGACCACUGCAGUGGGAAAUGUAGAGGCCACUAGACUAAUAUUAAUGUCGUGGUCGUGGUACUAAGAUAAACCAGGAAAAUAACUGAAAAAAAAAACAAAAAAAAUACAAAAUGCCAAAAAUACGUAGCGUUAGGGACAUGGGGUGCGUGCAGAGAACCUCCUCGCGUGCUCGGCGGCUGCUGGUCCCCCGCGGAUGUGUCCGGGGGGAGGGCAGCUGGCGGGCCGGUGCACCCUGGGCACGGACAGGCAUCUCUCGUGGUGGAGCGAUACUUGUCUGUGGCGAAUUUCUGCAUUUAUUUUCAAAGAAUUCCUAGAUAAGCCAAUAAUUUUUGCAAUCCUUAUAUAUACUAUUACAUACAAACAUACAUAGAUUAAUUUCACGUAUAUAAUAAUUACAAAUACAUGAUACCUAAAGAAUUAAAGUUGUUUAAUCGGAAUUAUUAUUCAUAGUAGGCAGGUACGAUCGACUGCUUGGUAAAAUAGCCGUGUCGCAAAACAAUAUACUUUUAUGUAAGAAUGUCCAUUCAAAGAAUUCAUUCGGAAAUUGUUGAUAUUCAUGGGGUCUAUGCGCUCGCUAUAUACGUCCACUAUUUCACUGCAGGGAGUCUCAAGACCCACACUAAGCGGUACACUGUAAAGCUGGGUCACUUGCGCGAACUCAUAGACGACCCUUAUGUUCGAGACCCUUUGAGGUUUGUCCCUACAAGAAGGUGGCUUCCUAAAGGCGAAGCCCCUUACCCCGGCUACUGCAGAGCCCCUGGCAGUGAGGUCUGUGUCCCAACCCUAUGCAACUGCGACAAACUACGAGAUCGUUGGAACAUGAUAAACAUAAAUAAACAGAGACAGAAUAAAACAAAAUAAAUUGUAGACUCAGAUAGCGUU